UCAAAACAGCGGCCUUCGGGCCUCGCUGCACCCUUGUCUUUUGCGCACCGUAUUGUUUCCUCGGCGGGCUUGCCUGCCGGUUGGACAUCACUAAAACCUCUUUGUAGUUGCAAUCAGCGUCAGAAAAACAAUAAUUAUUA
rnacentral:misc_RNA from 1 species